rnacentral:lncRNA from 1 species
GAUCUUCCUCAGAGAAGCUUAUUCCCUCGCUUGGGUAUGAUCUUUUCUUAGACUUUGGUACAGUGGUAGUCUGCAUUACCUUUUGCGAGUAACUUCUGCUUUCUCCUACUGAUCCUCCGCCGAAGAUUAAAUUUAUUACUCUUCUCUUGUGGUCAGUGUCUGAGUCGGGACUUCUCGAGCACUGGCGCUUACCCUUGUUAUUCGGGUCCUUGCAACCUUGUCGC